UCCACGCAUGCUGUUUCGUCCGCGUUGCUUCGGGCUUUGAAUACCGUUUCUGCUAUCCAGGGGAGGAUCCAGUAUUUUGCAGAAGGGGGAAGACGCCAGGAGAAAGCAGCCAUCGCCCCGGCGCGAUGUUUCAGCACAACGUCAGGGCUACGUCACGUGCCAUCCGAUUGGCUCUGCCAUCGGGAUUACGACGUCACCAAGUGACGUCAAAUUCCCUCGUUCACUCCCACGCUAUUCGAAGGAUUGGAGAUUUUCUAGAAGGUGCAUGUGCAGGUCGAUGGCCUCUCUACUAGAUCAACUGUGCUCGUCGUUUCACAAGACCACACGUGUUUUUGUUGCAUAACGUGCCACAGCCAAAAAGACGAGAGAUUUAUGGAGUGUAGCAUCUCACUGCACCUUUAGUGGGUAUACGCUCAAAUCGGAACUUUGGGCGGCCUACGAAAGAUGUUGCUCUUCCAUCACUUAUAUUUAGGGUUCCGGGUUUAUUCCUGGUUUUCGGAGUUUUUCGGAGUUUAUUCCUGGGCUUUACCGGAGGAUGCUUUGCGCAGCUUGUUGGUUUUUCAAAAAACGGAGUUUUUCGGAGUGUAUGAUUUACAGCACAGUUAAUAUCCCAAAUUCGGAGAAAACUUGACGACGCACGCACGGUUGUGCAGCGAAAACGCAGUUGUCACAUCUAUCGCUUCAACACUAAAGAGACACAAGCUUAACAAUACAUUUCGUGCGACGCACACUGAGGUGUUCCGCAAUUCCAAAUGCACCCUUUCAGUGUGCAGUGCUCCCUGUUAUGCUGCAGUACUUACAUACGACAACCUCUGCAUCGAGAUCGCGGGACGAUGUGAACCCCUCGAAAUCAGGGUACUCCUUGACGUAGUCGCAGGGCAGCUUUCGCUUGCGUCCCAUCUUGUCGGCAGCACUGCAACUAGUUGCCCUUCCGAAAAGACCACUCCGUAUGACCUUGGUUCGAUGCUUAUUUUAGUGCUUAGGUCACAGGUAGGAAAAGGAAAUUGGGAAACAGACUGGGGGAAAACCCGGGCGGUGAAUCCUCAAGUGGUCGCGAUGACCGCCGAAGAAAGCGCGGUGUCGCGGAAACCAUUACUACAUAUGUUGCGGUGGGGCCGGUAUCCGAGGUCAGAAGAAACCCAGGACACAAAAGGUGGCCAAGAACAAUUGCCCUGCUAUCAGAAGAAAACAAAACAUCUUUUCGGAUAAAUCCGAAAACUCGGAACUUUGAGGGUACUGUUAUGUCAUCUUCGGAGCACAGCGGACGACUGUGACGUUGCAGUCGUAAAUUGCGCCUAGUGCAUGGUUUUCCUGGGCACGUGACCUGUAUGUCAGACAGGAACAGCGAGUCCGCAAAUGACGACACAUCCGGUGCGCGAGCAGCGUCGCCGACUCCCACUUUGCUCUCUCUCACAACAGUGCCAGUUUCAGAAUACUUUUUUUUGGAUAUUAUACGCUCAAUAACAGACAGCAAAAGACGUAGACACGCAGCGCCGAAUGUGCUUGAGUUUUUUUUUCGGUAUCUUUAGUGUUCCCUGUAUCAAAGGCAUUAGAAUUUUUACUGGUGUGGAGAAGGGUUUCAGCAGAAAUAUCAUGUGUCGUCUCACCAUUUCAUUCCGAUUUAUUUAUUUUAAAUUUUUACGUGUUUAGGAAAGAAAAGUCGUUGUCCAGAAACUCUAUAAAUCGACAAAUAAAUACACACUGAAGUUUGA